UACAGAGGGGGCAAGCGUUGUUCGGAAUCACUGGGCGUAAAGGGCGCGUAGGCGGCCUUCUAAGUCGAACGUGAAAUCCCCGGGCUCAACCCGGGAACUGCGUCCGAUACUGGAAGGCUUGAAUCCGGGAGAGGGAUGUGGAAUUCCAGGUGUAGCGGUGAAAUGCGUAGAUAUCUGGAGGAACACCGGUGGCGAAGGCGACAUCCUGGACCGGUAUUGACGCUGAGGCGCGAAAGCCAGGGGAGCAAACGGG
rnacentral:rRNA from 1 species